rnacentral:misc_RNA from 1 species
AAGUCGUAACAAGGUUUCCGUAGGUGAACCUGCGGAAGGAUCAUUAUCGUACAACCGAGGCGCAAAGGCUGUCGCUGACCCCCCCAAAAGGUCGUGCACGCUCGAGCACUCUCACACAAUCCAUCUCACCUUUGUGCAUCACCGCGUGGGUCCCCCCUUUGCGGGGGAGGGCUCGCGUUUAUCACAUAAUACUUGAUACAGUGUAGAAUGUUUCUUUUGCGGUCACACGCAAUCAAUACAACUUUCAACAACGGAUCUCUUGGCUCUCGCAUCGAUGAAGAACGCAGCGAAAUGCGAUACGUAAUGUGAAUUGCAGAAUUCAGUGAAUCAUUGAAUCUUUGAACGCACCUUGCGCCCCUUGGCAUUCCGAGGGGCACACCCGUUUGAGUGUCGUGAAAUCUUCAAAACCCCUUUUUCUUUGGUCCAUUUUUGGUCGGGAAAAGGAUUUUUGGACUUGGAGGUUCAAUGCUUGCCUCGAAAGCGAGCUCCUCUUAAAUGAAUUAGUGGGGUCCGCUUUGCUGAUCCUCGACGUGAUAAGAUGUUUCUACGUUUUGGGUUUAGCACUGUCCCUUGGAUGCCUGCUCCUAACUGUCUCAUGGACAAUGAUGGUGCUCUGGUCACCGCCGUCUACAUCGGCGGAAGGCUGGACCCACAAAAAGAAAACCUUGACCUCAAAUCGGGUGAGACUACCCGCUGAACUUAA